GGGCAUUGAACAAGGGCCAGGCCUAUGGGCCACAGGCCGUACCUCUCAAUAGCGAAAGCUGACAGGUUACUCUGAGUGAUGUCCGCUAAGGCAUCUUUUGGCACUUCUAAAAAUAGUGUAGAAUAAGGGGUGGGCAAGUCUGGUGUCAGCCGCCGCGGUAAUACCAGCACCCCGAGUGGUCGGGACGAUUAUUGGGCCUAAAGCAUCCGUAGCCGGUUCUGCAAGUCUUCCGUUAAAUCCACCUGCUCAACAGAUGGGCUGCGGAGGAUACGACAGGGCUAGGAGGCGGGAGAGGCAAGCGGUACUCAGUGGGUAGGGGUAAAAUCCUCUGAUCCACCGAAGACCACCAGCGGCGAAGGCGGCUUGCCAGAACGCGCUCGACGGUGAGGGAUGAAAGCUGGGGGAGCAAACCGGAUUAGAUACCCGGGUAGUCCCAGCUGUAAACGAUGCAGACUCGGUGAUGGGUUGGCUUCGAGCCAACCCAGUGCCGCAGGGAAGCCGUUAAGUCUGCCGCCUGGGGAGUACGGUCGCAAGACUGAAACUCAAAUGAAUUGACGG
rnacentral:rRNA from 1 species